rnacentral:rRNA from 1 species
CCUACGGGAGGCAGCAGUAGGGAAUAUUGGUCAAUGGGCGAAAGCCUGAAGCAGCAACGCCGCGUGGAGGAUGACGGUUUUCGGAUUGUAAACUGCUUUUGUUAGGGAGGAUAAUGCAGAUAACUAAAUAAUUAGCACCGGCUAGCUCCGUGCCAGCAGGCGCGGUAAUACGUAGUGUGCAACGUUUACUCGGAAUCACGAGGCGUAAAGUGCGCGUAGGCGGGUUUGCAAGUCAGAUGUGAAAUCCUAUGGCUUAACCAUAGAACUGCCUUUGAAACUGAUCAUCUAGAGUAUGGGAGAGGUAGGUGGAAUUCAUGGUGUAGCGGUAAAAUGCGUAGAGAUCAAGAAGAACACUCAUUGCGAAGGCAGCCUACUAGAACAUUACUGACGCUGAGGCGCGAAAGCGUGGGGAGCAAACAGGAUUAGAUACCCGGGUAGUC